GAUGAAGAACGUAGCGAAAUGCGAUAAUUAAUGUGAAUUGCAGAAUUUAGUGAAUCAUCGAAUCUUUGAACGCACAUUGCGCCCUGUGGUAUUCCGCAGGGCAUGCCUGUUCGAGCGUCAUUUCAACCCUCAAGCCUCGCUUGGUGUUGGGCCCUGCCCGCCGCGGCCGGCCCUAAAGAUAGUGGCGGCGCCGCCUGGCCCUCAGCGUAGUACAGCUCUCGCUCCAGGGUCCGGCGGCAGCCUGCCAGAACCCCCCAACUCUGUGGUUGACCUCGGAUCAGGUAGGGAUACCCGCUGAACUUAAGCAUAUCAAUAAGCGGAGGA
rnacentral:misc_RNA from 1 species